rnacentral:rRNA from 1 species
GAUGUGUGUGAAAGAUGUGUGUUUACUUUUUGCCAAUACCUACGCCUAUAUCCGCGCCAAUCGUCAGUGGUAACUUAUGCAAAGAAGUCGAACUCAACCCAAUUUUCGUGCCUUCCAUAAACGUGGUAGUGGCAGGAGUUUAUCUCACAAAAGAUGCCAGCGAGGUACUUAUCGCGUAUCGUCUCGGCGUGGAUUAUGAGGCCGUUGAGGGUAGUAUACUUUACCCAAGUUGCAGGUUAAUACUUUAGGAACUUUCUUUUCCUACUUAGCUUUAUAGCGACGAUGCGGUUUUGAGCCGCGUUUCUUGGUUGGUCUAACGGGGUCACCUAUUUAUUCCUUAUGUCUUUGUUUUUGUCGUUAACCUGGUCUCUUACUCUAACGUAAUAUUCCGGCGUUAACUUGUCUGGCUCGUUCAAGUUUAACCGCAUUGUACUUUGGAUAAUCACGUUUUCGGGGCACCUCUCGAUGUUUUCAGGUAUCUGGCGGAUUAACUGUGGUUGCUCAUUUUAGAGGAACACGAAGCCCGGGGGUAUCAUCGUUGUUUCUCACACGAUUUGAUAACCGUCCCCAUCUUUGACGACGCCAAUUCUUUAAUGUUGGAAGGUUUAUCCUUGAUCGGUUAGGUACCCAUAUGGUUCUUCAAUGUUUUCAACAGGGACAUUUGGUUGGGGGAUUUCGCUUUAUUCGUAUUCCUUUCUCGUUAUCCGGUCUGGUAGGAUGUUUUUGCUUUGCCAGGGAAGCAUUGGUCAGUAGGUAUCAUAGUUUAUCUAGUAAAAGAAGAAAUCCUUAAGAUGGUUCCCGAUAUCAGUAUCACUAGGAGGAUAAGUUAAUGAAGUUGGUAAAGGCUCGUGGAGUAUAGUGAAAGGUUCCGUAUACUAUCAAAAUAGUAGACACCUGCUAAAGAAAGAGCAAGUUACGGGAAAAAGUUACCAGAGCUUCUCUCUUUAAAGGGUAAAAAUAGAUACCUCAGUGUUGGCUCCAGCACCAUU